rnacentral:rRNA from 1 species
UACGUAGGGUGCAAGCGUUGUCCGGAAUUAUUGGGCGUAAAGAGCUCGUAGGCGGUUUGUCGCGUCGAAUGUGAAAAACCCGGGGCUCAACCCCGGGCCUGCAUUCGAUACGGGCAGACUAGAGUUCGGUAGGGGAGUCUGGAAUUCCUGGUGUAGCGGUGAAAAUGCGCAGAUAUCAGGAGGAACACCGGUGGCGAAGGCGGGGACUCUGGGCCGAUACUGACGCUGA